AUUGAACGCUGGCGGCAGGCCUAACACAUGCAAGUCGAACGAGUGGCGGACGGGUGAGUAAUGUCUGGGAACCUGCCUGAUGGCGGGGGAUAACUACUGGAAACGGUAGCUAAUACCGCAUACCAUCAGAUCUGCCCAGAUGGGAUUAGCUUGUUGGUGGGGUAACGGCUCACCAAGGCAACGAUCCCUAGCUGGUUUGAGAGGAUGACCAGCAACACUGGAACUGAGACACGGCCCAGACUCCUACGGGAGGCAGCAGUGGGGAAUAUUGGACAAUGGGCGAAAGCCUGAUGCAGCCAUGCCGCGUGUAUGAAGAAGGCCUUCGGGUUGUAAAGUACUUUCAGCGGGGAGGCGUUACCCGCAGAAGAAGCACCGGCUAACUACGUGCCAGCAGCCGCGGUAAUAC
rnacentral:rRNA from 1 species